CAUGCUAGUCGAACGAACAGAACUAUGUCUGUAAGUGGCAUACUGCUCAGUAACACGUAGCUAACCUACCCUUAGGACGUCGAUAACCCCGAGAAAUUGGGGCUAAUAGGCGAUAGAUGUAUUGUCCUGGAAUGGUAAUACGUCCAAAGGUAUCCCAUACAUGUUUGGUAUACGCCUAAGGAUGGGGCUGCGGCCGAUCAGGCUGUUGGUGAGGUAAUGGCUCACCAAACCUUUGACCGGUAUGGGCCAUGAGAGUGGUAGCCCAGAGAUGGACACUGAGACAAGGGUCCAGGCCCUACGGGGCGCAGCAGGCGCGAAACCUCCUCAAUGCACUAACGUGCGAAGGGGUUACCUCGAGUGCCACCUGAAGAAGGUGGCUUUUCCUUGGUCUAAAAAGCCUAGGGAAUAAGAGGGGGGCAAGACUGGUGUCAGCCGCCGCGGUAACACCAGCCCCUCGAGUGGUGGGGAUGAUUAUUUGGCCUAAAGCGUCCGUAGCCGGCCGGGUAAGUUUCCCGUUAAAUCCAGCGUCUCAAGCGUUGGACUGCGGGAAAUACUGCCUGGCUAGAGAGUGGGAGAGGUCAGCGGUAUUCUGGGGGUAGGGGCGAAAUCCUUUGAUCCCCGGAGGACCACCAGUGGCGAAGGCUGCUGACUAGAACACGUCUGACGGUCAGGGACGAAAGCUGGGGUAGCGAACCGGAUUAGAUACCCGGGUAGUCCCAGCCGUAAACGAUGCAUGCUAGGUGUUGGGUUGGCCACGAGCCACCCCAGUGCCGCAGGGAAGCCGUUAAGCAUGCCGCCUGGGAAGUACGAUCGCAAGGUUGAAACUUAAAGGAAUUGGCGGGGGAGCACCACCAGGCGUGAAGCCUGCGGUUUAAUUGGAUUCAACGCC
rnacentral:rRNA from 1 species